rnacentral:lncRNA from 1 species
AGGAGGAUAGUAAGGAGUUGGGGGUGGUGGUGAAGUGUAGUAGUAAGGUGGAGGAGGUGACUUAACUGGUGGUGGAGGGGAGGAGUAGUAGUAAGGUGGAGGAGGUGACUUAACUGGUGGGGGAGGGGAGGAGUAGUAGUAAGGAGGAGGAGGUGACUUAACUGGUGGUGGAGGGGAAGAGUAGUAGUACGGUGGUGGAGGUGACUUAACUGGUGGUGGAGGAGAGGAGUAGUAGUACGGUGGAGGAGGUGACUUAACUGGUGGUGGAGGGGAGGAGUAGUAGUACGGUGGAGGAGGUGACUUAGCAGGUGGUGGUGGGGACUUGUAAUAGUAAGGUGGUGGGGGAGAGGGUGAAGGGGGUGGUGGUGAUUUAUAGUAGUAUGGUGGAGGUGGUGAUGGAGAAGGUGGUGGGGGAGACUUGUAAUAAUAAGGUGGAGGUGGUGAAGGUGAAGGUGGUGGCGGGGAUUUGUAGUAAUAUGGUGGUGGAGGUGAUGGUGAAGGAGGUGGUGGUGAUUUAUAUACAUAUGGUGGUGGUGGAGAUGGUGAUGGAGGUGGUGGCGACUUGUACACAUACGGCGGUGGAGGAGAUGGUGAAGGAG